rnacentral:lncRNA from 1 species
ACGAGGAGCACGUAUCGAGUUUGACUUCCUUGUAAUCAUUUUUGUUUCCAGACAUCAAAUAAGUUUUUUUUUGUAUAGUAACAAAGAAAAAAAAUAUUAAUCACAAAUCUUUGUGCAGCACAGCAGCCAAACACCACCAAAUUUACGUUGGACGUUGAAGCACACACCAAACAGGAACUCCUGUAACAAUCCGACCACCAUAGCCAUCAAUAGCCGGAGGCUCCGAUCUUGGUCUCCACAGACCCGUCUCCGCUGCUUGCGACGAACAAGCUCCAUAAUCUUUCAUCGCCGUGGAAGACGAUUUGAACUCAUCUGUGGAAUAAGGUUUAACCAUGAUUGAAACAUUCACGAUUCCACACUUAUCCCCAUAUUCAUCUCUUAACCUAUAGCUCAAGAAAUUCAAAUGACCUUCAGGUGAAUACCUCCCCAUGAAGUCUGACGUUGGGAUCUUAGCUUCUCCUAUCUUCUUCUCGCGUCCAGAACUUGUUCGAAACAACACCUCGAUGUAGAUGAACUGUUCAGUCCCGCUCAUG